UUUAAAUACUUUUUAAAGUAUCAAUUGGAGGGCAAGUCUGGUGCCAGCAGCCGCGGUAAUUCCAGCUCCAAUAGCGUAUAUUAAAAUUGUUGCAGUUAAAAAGCUCGUAGUUGAAUUUUUGCUAAAAAUAACCGGUCUGCUUUUAUUAAUAAAAGUGGUAUCUUGGUGUGUUUUUAGCAAUAAUGUCCUUUGAAAUGUUUUUUACUUUAUUGUAAAAAGCAGUUUUUUGGAUUUUUACUUUGAGAAAAUUAGAGUGUUUCAAGCAGGCUAACGUUUUGAAUACUGCAGCAUGGAAUAAUAAAAUAGGAUUUUAGUUCUACGUUAUUGGUUUUAAGAACUAAAUUAAUGAUUGAUAGGAGCAGUUGGGGGCAUUUGUAUUUAACUGUCAGAGGUGAAAUUCUUAGAUUUGUUAAAGACACACUACUGCGAAAGCAUUUGCCAAAGAUGUUUUCAUUAAUC
rnacentral:rRNA from 1 species